rnacentral:rRNA from 1 species
GUGGGGAAUAUUCCACAAUGGACGAAAGUCUGAUGGAGCAACGCCGCGUGAGUGAAGAAGGGUUUCGGCUCGUAAAGCUCUGUUGUCGGGGACGAAUGUGCAGUAUUUGAAUAAAGUACUGCAAUGACGGUACCUGACGAGGAAGCCACGGCUAACUACGUGCCAGCAGCCGCGGUAAUACGUAGGUGGUAAGCGUUGUCCGGAAUUAUUGGGCGUAAAGGGAGCGCAGGCGGGAAGGUAAGUCGGUCUUAAAAGUGCGGGGCUCAACCCCGUGAUGGGAUCGAAACUAUCUUUCUUGAGUGCAGGAGAGGAAAGUGGAAUUCCUAGUGUAGCGGUGAAAUGCGUAGAUAUUAGGAGGAACACCAGUGGCGAAGGCGACUUUCUGGACUGUAACUGACGCUGAGGCUCGAAAGCCAGGGGAGCGAACGGGAUUAGAUACCCUUGUAGUCC